UACGUAGGUGGCGAGCGUUGUCCGGAUUUACUGGGCGUAAAGAGCGCGCAGGCGGCUGGUCAAGUCCGAUGUGAAAGCUCCCGGCUUAACUGGGAAAUUGCAUCGGAAACUGAUCGGCUGGAAGGUGGGAGAGGGUAGCGGAAUUCCCGGUGUAGUGGUGAAAUGCGUUGAUAUCAUCAGGAACACCGGAGGCGAAGGCGGCUCACUGGGGGUUAUCUGACGCUGAGGAACGAAAGCCGGGGGAGCGAACGGG
rnacentral:rRNA from 1 species